UACAGAGGGUGCAAGCGUUAAUCGGAAUUACUGGGCGUAAAGCGCACGCAGGUGGCUGAGUCAGUCGAUUGUGAAAGCCCUGGGCUUAACCUGGGAAUUGCAGUCGAUACUACUCAGCUAGAGUAUGGGAGAGGGUAGUGGAAUUCCCCGGUGUAGCGGUGAAAUGCGUAGAUAUCGGGAGGAACAUCAGUGGCGAAGGCGGCUACCUGGCCCAAUACUGACACUCAGGUGCGACAGCGUUGGGGGAGCAAACAGG
rnacentral:rRNA from 1 species